CAGCUGAGAGAUGGGACAAGAAGGAUGGCAGCAGGGUGGGGCAUGGAGCAUACAUGGGAUUCUAUCAAGAAUGUCUGUGGUAGGAGCAGCUGUGGCUCCAGGGCAGGCUGGGCGCCUGACCAGCGGGGGCAGAGGAUAGCCGGCAGGAGCUGGCUAGCUUUGUUCACAGAGGAACAGAGAAGCAGGGCAUCCUUAAGGCACAAAAGUCUGGGAGGGCCAGGGGCCCGGGUCUCAUGGGAAGGACAGCUGCUCUCCAGGGAGCUGUUCCUUCUGCAGAGGUGCGCAGUCCCUGGGUCCGGGUCCCCUCACUUGGAUCCACCUUCGUCUUGCACCCUGACGGCACAGCACACAGGGACUACGAGGCCUUGGACCCCGGCCUUGUGUUCCUUACAGUCUUGCAGGGCUGGGCAUCUAGUAUGUUCCCAGUCCUUACGGCCACUCAGCACCCAGUGCCCAUCCAGGAAGAACGACCUUCUACAAGCAAAGUUCUGCUUCAUGUCCAGCCAGCCAUAUUCAAUGAGUGAGGCUGUCCUGUGGCUUUGGAGCCAUGGAGGCUGCUCCAUGCCUCAGCAGGCCUGGAAGGGGUCUCCAAGCUGCCACUGUUCAGAGAGGUUGAGCCCCCUCCCCCAGGGCCCUGCCCCGGAGGCUCACAGCAGUUGUCCUGGCCCCCACCUGCCCCCAGUCCCCUCUCAGCCCCGGUGGCUGGCAUCUGCUUUAUCGGGGCUUCUCCAGAGGGACAACUGGCUUGUGUCACAGGCUUGUUCCCUGCAUAUCUUGCAGGUUUUAAAUAGCUUAUCUGAGCAGCUGGGAGACCACAUGGGCUUAUAUGGUGAGGGGGUACAAUCUCCUUUAGCCCUGUCCCUGACACCUGCCAAAAUAGCAGGAGACACCCCCACCCCCAAUGCCACCCUGGUCCCCCUCCCCAUGCAUUCCGACCCCCGCAGGGCUAGCUCACAAAGCCCAGCCCACAUGCCUGCCUAAAGCCCUGCUCAGCCUGGCCCUCUCCCAGUGCCGCAGAGACUGAGUAGACAGCUUCAACUCCUGUGCUGAGGAGGAGCAGCGACCAUGUCUGACUUGGAAGAGGUGGUGGAGGAAUACGAGGAGUGAGUAUUGGGGCUUCCUGCCACCAGGACUGUCUCCUCCCCACACACCCCUUGCACCUGCCCCAGGUGUCCCCAGGGCAGAAGUGGCUGGGCCUAUUUUCAGAACCUGUGGGGAAAUUUGACCCUUCCCUCCCACCACCACCCCUUUCCCGAGGUAUUCAAAGGCAGAGGCUCCAUGCAAGGGUCACUGGGUUUGACCCAGUGAAAGGACUGGCUACCAGCAGAAUGGGGUCUCUGGAAUUGAGCCAGAACACCUGUUCCGAGGCCCCAGAGCCCAUUAGGCCCCAUGGCAUGGGACUGAGACUCAGAUUCCUGCUUUGCCCAAAGGUGCUGCCCUGCCACCUUCGUAGAAUGCCCUCUCCCUUCAGGGCACUCAGAUGGGACAUGCUGGGAGGGACUGGCAAUUAGGGGGUGCAGGGGAAGGGAGUGCAGCAGUGUGGGGUGCAGGGAGGCACCUGCCAUUCAUGUGUGAUUUGCAGGAGAGAGUUGGGGAGAAGGAAGAAAUUUCUAGAAAGGGAGCACCCUGGGGAGAGUUCAGGGAUGAGUCCCUGGCAGAAAGCAGCAGAGACCAUCAGGCUGCCCAUGGACUGGUGGGGACAGUGUCUGGGAGCCCUGGAUGGACAGUAGGGUCAGGGUGGGCCGAGCCAGCAGGGAGGGAGAGAAAUCCUAGGGUGACACCCUGGGCACAAAGUGGUGCACGUUUGUGUCUGAUUGACACCAUCCUCUUAUACACACAGGGAAGGUGAGUAGCCCUGUGUGUUCACUGGGGCUGAGGACCGUGUGGUUCGAGGCUGACUCACCUCUUCUCUCUUUCGUGGUCCCAACCUUGUCUUGUGAGCAGAGGCAGCCAUGGGAG